AUUGUGCGAUUUUGAGAGAGAGAGGUUUGGUUGCGUUUGAGAGACUUUGAGAGUAAAGGUUGAGGGAUAGCGUUUGAGAGAGAGAGAGAAAUUUUGAGAUUUUGAGAGAGCGAUGAGGAAGGAGAGUCGUAGCGAGUGAGGGCGAGUUUGGUUGAGGACGACGGGAGAGUUUUUCUUCCUUACUGUGUUUUCUUUUUUUUCUGUUUUCUUGUUUUUUUUUUAAUUAAUUUCUUUUUUUAUUUUUAACUUAACCUUUUUUUUUACAGAGAUAAUAUAAAAAACCAUGAAAUUAUUUAUUUUUGUUUUUUAUUUUAAAUUUUUAUUCCAGUUCAUACAUUUAGGGUAGUAUCUCAACAGCAGAUAGUGUUGAGUGGCCUAGUGGAGAGAGUUUAGUUGCAUAAUAUUAGGUGGGGAAGGUUCAAUACUCAUGUGUGGUACUUUUUGCUUUUUAUUUGAUUUUAUCUUCCUUUAGCAUUUUUUAUUCUUUUAGUAUGUUGAUUAAUAUCUUUUUUAUGUUUAUUAUACUCAUGAUUUCAUUUGUUAAUAAUGCAUAGUUGUUGUAUUUUAGUUUAGUUCAAAACCAUUUUUUAAACUAUAAAAAUCAUACUUUUCUCGAUUUAAUAUCGAGCCCAUUUUUACACCCUUGUAAGUCGAUUGCUUUUUAAGCAUCGCCAUCAACCUCACAUAGCUUACUCUUGGGCUUUCUUACAAUGAGC
rnacentral:lncRNA from 1 species